CAAGCCACAACCCCCACUCUCAUACCUCCUCUGGGGGAAUAAAGGGGGAGAGAAAUAAAAGGUUUGUGUCUGUUCCCUGAGGACACUGUGGACUCACCCCUGCUGGAAGGUGUGGAGGCAGUGACACAUCUGGCUGUGUAAGCAAACCUCCUUAUGCCUGUCAUCCUCCCCAGCCUUAGGAUGGCUCAUCGGCCUGACAGCAUCCCUCAAAGGCACCUCUGGCACCCAGCCCCUGUGCCUGCAUGGGUGCUGAGCCCUAGGGAGCAGCAAGAGCAGGGUGCUCCCCUGGGAGAGGAGCCAGGGUGGCCCCAGCACCGCAGGGCUCCAUGGAUGCUGCACUUCCAGAGCCACAGCACCUGGCUGCCAGAAUCCUGCAAGAGAAGUGGGAGAAACCCGAGUGGUGUCACUUCGGGGAGCGCGUGUGCAUAUGGCCCCUUGAAAUCCUUAUGCCAAGCGUGGCUGGGUUUCCCUGUUCAGCUCCUGGCAGCUAGAGAGAGCAGCCUGCUUGUUUUAGCAGGCUUAUUAUUCCACAUCCUUAUUAGUGCUCUAAGUAGCUCUUUGUGUCACGGCAGCCACAUUCCUUGCCCGCAGCGUGCUUUGCCUGCUCCGUUGAAGCAGGAUAUUCCCCGGCUGAUUAACGAGAAGAGAAUUUCUUGCCGUGCCCUGCUCUCCCAGGUGACGUCGGGCGGCG